GCAAAAACCAGUCUGAAGAUUUAGUGAAUAACUGCUUAUUUCAAAGACUCAGCAAAUGUCAAGCAACAACAAAAAAAAGUACAUUCUAUCCAGCAACCUUGAACAUGGAUCUGGGUCUUCCUGGCAUCCCAUAAUUCUGUGCACCAUCUUUAUGAUUCCCAUGCUUCAGGAGACACUGUAGUCUUUCAGCAACGGUAAGCUUUGCUCUCUCCUUGCAUUGCCACUAUGUUAUAUCAAUAAAAUGCCAU
rnacentral:lncRNA from 1 species